rnacentral:rRNA from 1 species
AAUUUAAUUAAUUAUUAAUUUAUAUAAAUAAAGUAUUAUUAUAUUUUAUUAUUGUUAAAGAAAAAAAAAUAUUUAUUAUAGUUAAUUAGUAUAGUGAUAGAAUUUUUAAAAUUUGAAAAUUUAAAUAUAUAGAAGAAGUUUUUUUAUGUACCUUGUGUAUCAGGGUUUAUUAAAUAAAUAUUAAUUAUUUAAUUUUCUCGAUUUUGAAAGAGCUAAAAAUUUAUUUAUUUUAUUGUAGAAUAAAUAUUUUAAAUUGGUUUUUAGAAAUGAAACGUUAUUCGUUUUCAAAUAUAUCUAGUUUUUGAAGAAAAAAAUUUAAUUUUAAUUUAUAAUUUAUUUAUUUAUUUUUAUUAAAAAUUGAUUAAUUAUAAAUUUAUAUUUUAAGGGAUAAGCUUUAAAAUAAAUUAUUAAAAUUUAAUUAUUUAUAUAAAAUUGUAGGAUUAGAAGUUUUCAUCAUUUAAUAUGUUAUAAUUAAUUUAUUAUAUAAUAUAAUUUAUUAUUGUUUAAUUUAUUUAUUCAAAUUAAUUAAUUAAUUUAUUUAUAAUUGUAAUAAUGAUAAAAUUAGUAUAAUUGAAUUUGUAAAUUUAAAUUUAUUUUAAAGGUUAAAUAAAGGAAUUCGGCAAAUUAUUUUUCGCCUGUUUAUUAAAAACAUGUCUUUUUGAUAAUAAUUUAAAGUCUAACCUGCCCACUGAAUUUUUAAUGGCCGCGGUAUUUUGACCGUGCAAAGGUAGCAUAAUAAUUAGUUUUUUAAUUAAAAGCUGGAAUGAAUGGUUGAACGAGAAAAUAACUGUCUCUAUUUAAAUUAUUUAGAAUUUUAUUUUUAAGUUAAAAAGCUUAAAUGAGUUUAAAAGACGAGAAGACCCUAUAGAGUUUAAUAAAAUUAUUAUUUAAAAAUUUUUUGAAUUAUUUAUUUUUUAGUAUAAAUUUUAUUUAGUUGGGGUGAUUGAAAAAUUUAUAAAACUUUUUUUUUAUUUAAACAUUAAUUUAUGAAUUAUUGAUCCAUAAAAAUGAUUAAAAGAUUAAAUUACCUUAGGGAUAACAGCGUAAUUUCUUUAAAGAGUUGGAUUAAAAUUAAUUUUUGGUGUAGAAGCUAAAAAAUUAGGUCUGUUCGACCUUUAAAAUUUUACAUGAUCUGAGUUUAAACCGGUGUGAGCCAGGUUGGUUUCUAUCUUUAAAUAAUAAUAAUAUUUUAGUACGAAAGGACCAAAUAUUAAUUAUAUUAAUUAAUUAAGAAUAAUAUUAA